GAGGAUGCUUUGAAUCCUGACCUAGCGGUGGUUGACUCCAGUCUUGGCAAAACGAGGGAAGUCAGUCCCAAGCGCACAUGCCGGGCACUCUCGGCUCAGCUGGCAUUGGAGUCUGGUGCCACCAGAGCUAAAGUCCAUGUGCUUGGAUGCCCGCCAAGAGGACUCCAGCUGCAGCCUGUGAGCUCACACUCCACUGUGGGGGGGUGGAGGAUUCCUUCCCUUUGACUCAACUCUGACUGAAAUAGAUGACAGGGAGGAGGUGUGUUGGCCCUGCCCACCACACUGAAACUAAACUAGAAAGGUUACCGGCCUUGGCCCAGAAAUGGAGCUUCCAAGCCAGGGUACAUGGCGUGCACUGGACACUGGCUCGCCCCGGGCACCAGGACGGCGACCACAGCUUCACGGUCAUCCCCUCCUCAGAUUUCACGGACCUGGGGACACAGGUCUGCGGGGAUAACGCAAGCACCCUGGGAACACUUUGCGCCACUCGCUGAUUAUACAACAACCACCGCUACCAGCUGCCCGGGCCAUUUCUACCAGUUCCCUAGAAAAGGAGACGGGGCUGUGAGGAGAACGGGGCUUAAGAGAAGGAACGAGCACAAGGCCGGGCUGACACAGGCCCAGGACAAACAGAAGCUGGAAGCUGUCCAAGCUGGAGUAAUGUGUUACACUCUGAAGACUAGAUUAUGAGAAUGAUCAGGAUACUGCAUAUCCUUGAGAAAAGUAUAAAUAAAUAAAUACUUGCAAAUGUUA